rnacentral:rRNA from 1 species
AACGAACGCUGGCGGCAUGCCUAACACAUGCAAGUCGAACGAGACCUUCGGGUCUAGUGGCGCACGGGUGCGUAACGCGUGGGAACCUGCCCUUAGGUUCGGAAUAACUCCCCGAAAGGGGUGCUAAUACCGGAUAAUGUCUUCGGACCAAAGAUUUAUCGCCUUUGGAUGGGCCCGCGUUGGAUUAGCUAGUUGGUAGGGUAAAAGCCUACCACGGCGACGAUCCAUAGCUUGUCUGAGAGGAUGAUCAGCAACACUGGGACUGAGACACGGCCCAGACUCUUACGGGAGGGAGCAGAGGGUAAUGGUGGAACAUGGCGGGAAGGCUGAACCACCAAUGACGGGUAAGCCAUGAAGUCAGUGGAGAAGGAAAGCUCGUGUAACUGGGAUCGUUUUGACAGUACCGGGAGAAUAAGCCCCUGCUAACUACGUG